rfam:Listeria monocytogenes EGD-e, complete genome
UAUCUGAAAUGCUUUAUGAGAGGAGUUUUCUUCCGCAAUGACUAAUAAAAAAGUAGUUCGCGUUGUCGUUAUUUUAAUGUUAAUCGCGAUUGUAUUAUCAAGUGUUUUAACCGGGGUAUUAAUGUUUUUAUAAAUAUCCAACGUCUGGGCCGAUUUGGUUCAGACUUUUUU